rnacentral:miRNA from 1 species
GCAUAAGUAUGUCCCAUGCAAUGUUUGAGACAUACUUAUGC